CAGCAGCCACGGUAAUACGAAGGGGGCUAGCGUUGCUCGGAAUGACUGGGCGUAAAGGGCGCGUAGGCGGCGAUCAAAGUCAGGCGUGAAAUUCCUGGGCUCAACCUGGGGGCUGCGCUUGAUACUUGGUUGCUUGAGUGGGGGAGAGGUGAGUGGAAUUCCUGGUGUAGCGGUGAAAUGCGUAGAUAUCAGGAGGAACACCUGUGGCGAAAGCGGUUCACUGGACCAUAACUGACGCUGAGGCACGAAAGCUAGGGGAGCAAACAGGAUUAGAUACCCCAGUAGUCCCUGUCUCUUAUAC
rnacentral:rRNA from 1 species